UACUUUGUACAGAUAAAAUGAUUUAAUUAUGUGGCAAGAAGCAUCAGUAAUCACUAGUUGUCUAAAGACAGUCCUUGUAUGGUGAAGAUGCAAGGCAAAAUGAAUCUGUGUGUCCCCUUCAGGAGAUCUGAACAGGUAAUAAAAGAGAAAAAAAGACAGUGGAAGGAGGAAAUACAGUGAAAUGAAAUGAAGAAUUAAAGGGAACCAAAGAAGACUCAAAGGAGGGAGAUGGCUGAAGUGUGAGCAGACCCUCCGACUGGAUGAGACAGUGCAAAGGAGAAACUGAGGCGCUCUGAUAUACAGGGCUUGCAGUCACAAGAACUCUGGGCUGGGAACAGCUUGUAGACUUUGCGUGGUGACAAUCAAUCAAAACAGAAGAAAUGUUAUUCUUCAGCA